GAUGAACGCUAGCGGCAGGCCUAAUACAUGCAAGUCGAGGGGCAGCACGGUAGCAAUAACUGGUGGCGACCGGCGCACGGGUGCGUAACACGUAUACAAUCUACCUUAAACAGGGGGAUAGCCUUUCGAAAGAGAGAUUAAUACCCCGUAAUAAAUUGAACGGCAUCGUUUGAUUUUGAAAGCUCCGGCGGUUUGAGAUGAGUAUGCGUCUGAUUAGCUAGUUGGUGAGGUAACGGCUCACCAAGGCGACGAUUCAGUUAGGGGAUCUGAGAGGACUAACCCCCACAACUGGUACUGAGACACGGACCAGACUCCU
rnacentral:rRNA from 1 species